UACGUAGGGGGCAAGCGUUGUCCGGAUUUAUUGGGCGUAAAGAGCGUGUAGGCGGCCUGGUAGGUCAGCUGUGAAAACUCGAGGCUCAACCUCGAGACGUCGGUGGAAACCGUUUGGCUAGAGUCCGGAAGAGGAGAGUGGAAUUCCCGGUGUAGCGGUGAAAUGCGCAGAUAUCGGGAAGAACACCCGUGGCGAAGGCGGCUCUCUGGGACGGUACUGACGCUGAGACGCGAAAGCGUGGGGAGCGAACAGG
rnacentral:rRNA from 1 species